rnacentral:lncRNA from 10 species
CUAGGCUCUGCUCGCGUAAUUUGUCCUGUAGUGACCGCGCCGGGGUUUCGGGGUGGCCCGAGGCUGCGCGCGGGCGUGGCGGCCGGACGAGGAAAGCCCUGGUCUCGGGGGUGGCCGGGGUCGCCCCGCCGAGCGGACAUCCUGGGGUCCCACCUGCCUCGCUCUCCGCCAGCGGGAUUAGACGGACUUCGGGAAAGUCCUCCCCAUCUCCUUCCCUGCCCCCAAAUCCCGAAGGGGUCCCCUCUGGAGAACCUCCCUCCUGAGCGGCCCUGCGGCCCCGCCCCCAGAGUUGGACGCCCGCUGUCGGGCACCCGCUGCGGGCCCCGGGCCUUGCAGUGCACUCUCCAGGCACCACACCGACCCUAACGAGCGGUUCCUGGGCCCUUUUUGCAGACAAGGAAACUGAGGCUCAGAGAUUCUUUUCAUGGCAUUAUAGCUAAGUUGGGCUGGGCCAUUAUUUGAUUUUGGAAGAUGAAAAAUCAUGAAAGGGACUUAGAAGUCCACUGGAGGUAGACAGGUUACCUAAAUGAACGCCAGCAGGGAACGAGCCCUGCAAUCCCUCCCGAGGGCUACAGACCUGAGACGGGCUCCAGGAAAAGGAGGGAAGGCUCGCCCCGACACCGACCCGGGCUUCCGCGGUGUGAGCCAGUUUCAGCGAGGAGCUAGUUGGUUAUGACCGGAACGUGCCGUAGGUGGGGUGGGGGAAAUAGCAAAAGGCGAGGUUGGAGGGAUUGAAAAAUGCAGACGGCUGCGUGGGGCUUGCUUAGGUGCCUGGAGUUUAUUCUUUAGGCAACAGGGAACCUUUGGAGGGCUUUAAGCAGGAAGUGAUAACUGAUUUGUGUUAUUUAAAAAAAAAAAAAAGUCACUCUGGCAACCUUGUGGUCGGAAAUGAAACCAGAAGAACCCUCAAGGCUGCAACUUUCAUUUUUAUGGUGUCAUUUUGAUGCUAACCACAAGCCAGGAAGCAGGACAGACAGGCACCGAGGCCUUUUGAAAGCCCAAGCUAGCCUCACGAGGAGGCCGUGUGGAAGAGAACUGAGGCACCCUGGCCAACAAGGUGCCACCUCCAGACAUGUGAGUGAGCUGUACUAGACCACCCAGCCCCUGUGAAGCAUACAUAAGACCUGGAGAGACUGAUGGAAGAACUGCCCAGCUGAAUCCAACCCAAAUUGCCAAACCACAGAAUUGUGAGCCAAUAAAAUACAUGUGGUUUUAAGCCUUUAGGUUUUAGGGUAGUGUGUUACACAAUAUUGUUUCCUGGACUCUGCCACGAUACAUUUGAAAUUGACGUUCUUGAAGGGCAGCUUUGGUUAUUAUUAUGCUUAGUAAAAGAAGAAAUCAGAAAACGGCGGGAAGAAGUGAUGCAAAGGAGAAGGGCAAACAGAGAUACAAACGGGAAAAGGGACAAACCUAGGAAACAGUGGCUUGUCUUACCUCUUGG